AAUUAAAAACUAGAAUGAAAGGUUAUACAUUCAAAUUUCUUUAUUAAUUUUUAAUAAAUAAUUUAUAUUAAAUAUAAAAAUAUAUUUAUAAAAAAAAAAGACGACAAGACCCUAUUAAAUUUUACUUAUAGUUUAGCUGGGGAAGCUUUUCAAUUAAAAUUUUUUAAAAUCUUAAAAUAAAUAUCUAAUUUAAAUUAAAAUUUAAAUAAAUUACUAUAGGGAUAACAGCAUUAUAUUUUUUAAAAGUUCAUAUUAAAAAAAAUGAUUGUGACCUCGAUGUUGAAUUAUAUUUUCUAUAUUUAAUGCAAUAAUUAUAAAAGUAGAUCUGUUCGAUCUUUAAAAUAUUACAUGAUUUGAGUUCAAACCGGUGUAAACCAGGUUGGUUUCUAUCUUUUUAUAUAUUUUUCCAGUACGAAAGGACAAAAAAAUUUUUAUUUUAAUAAAUUAGCAAAUAUAAUGCAUUAGAUUUAGAAUCUAAAUAUAUUUAAAUU
rnacentral:misc_RNA from 1 species